GAAAACAAUUACAAAGAACAUUUGUUUGUUAUCUCUUGACUUUUGGAAAACAUACGAUGAAGUUUCUAUUUUCUUUACGUUACAAUUAUUAAGAAGUUUUUAUGAUUAGAAAUAACAGUUGAAAACGCCGCUUUAAGGUCGACUCGUGUACAUUAAUCUUUGCGCAGAUUAGGCGCAGUUAUACUUUUGUUGCAAGCAAAAAGCAAACCCAUAACAUCAAAUACACGUCAACAAACUUCAUCAAUGGGAAAAGAGUAAACAGCGUCACAUUUUUCACCUCGACCGGAAAGAAAUUCAAGUUAAAGUGAGAAAGACUUCAAUCAACGUUAAAGUAAUAUCUACCGUGUUACGUUGAAACAUUUCAAAGAUGCUUUCGGAGACUUCGAUCCUGGAUGCAGCAAUCAGUAACAAGAGAAAAAUAAUAAUGGAAACAAAAAAAGAAGAAAGUAAAGCAAAAAAAUAUAUGGUAUCUACAAUAAAUUUAUUAACAUAAUUAUAUUAGAACUUAUGUGUAGAUUUAUUGUAAGUAAGUUAUAGUUUUCACAUCAUAGAAAAGCUAUAUAUGACAACGA